GUGGGGAAUCUUCCGCAAUGGACGAAAGUCUGACGGAGCAACGCCGCGUGAGUGAUGAAGGUCUUCGGAUUGUAAAGCUCUGUUAAUCGGGACGAAAGAGCCUAGUGUGAAUAAUGCUAGGAAGUGACGGUACCGGAAUAGAAAGCCACGGCUAACUACGUGCCAGCAGCCGCGGUAAUACGUAGGUGGCAAGCGUUGUCCGGAAUUAUUGGGCGUAAAGCGCGCGCAGGCGGAUCUGCCAGUCUGUCUUAAAAGUUCGGGGCUUAACCCCGUGAUGGGAUGGAAACUACAGAUCUAGAGUAUCGGAGAGGAAAGUGGAAUUCCUAGUGUAGCGGUGAAAUGCGUAGAGAUCGGGAGGAACACCAGUGGCGAAGGCGACUUACUGGACUGUAACUGACGCUGAGGCGCGAAAGUGUGGGGAGCAAACAGGAUUAGAAACCCAGGUAGUCC
rnacentral:rRNA from 1 species